ensembl:lncRNA
GGGCCAUCUCUGUGUGUUUGGAAAUUAACAGGCAUUAUCGCAGGAGUGGCACUGCAGAGAGAGCCAGCCAGCCAGACGAUAAUCUUUAAGAAAGGGGAGAGAAUAACUUAGGGUAAAUAGAAGCGGGUAGUCGCGUGGGACUAUAUUGGGGGAAAACGUAGCAGCACCAGUCCUGAGUCCCAGAGGAAGAGGUGUGCGACCCAUGUAACCAACAAGGGUGUCCCAGGUGGUGUUUUCUGGAGGGAGAUGUUGAGUUGGAAUUUGAGGUGCAAGACGUCUACUAGGGAUCAACACUUGUGAAAGGAAAAGCGAGGAAGCAGGAUGGGGCAGAGGAAGAACGUGCCCUCUGAUGCAGGUGCUCCGAAGCCAGCAGGGAGCUCUGGACUAAAUGGCGCAGUCCGGGUGUUCAGUGUGAGGCCCAACUCUCGGGGUCUUUCGAUCCCACGGCCCCUCUCGAUCACCAGAUGUGGCCUGCCCCAGGCUCCUCCGCAGACGUGGCAGAUCCUGACAUAGCGGACAGCUGGAGGCCGUCUGCUUCGGGCACACCCUGCGCUGGAAAACAGGUUCUGCCUAAAGGGGUAUCUAGGCAGUGGGUCUCUGAGGGGAACCACAAAGAGAUGCAGAUUUUACUUUGCAUAUGUAAAGAACCAUGCAAAUCAAUAUGAGCAUCUAAGUUGCCAAGAAUGGUGCACGCGCGCGUGUUCACAAUUAGUAGUGGGUAGUGGUUCCCUAAAUCUGAAUCUCUUCUCAUUCCAAAUAAUGGUACAGAGGAAGGGCUGACACACAGUGUCCUAAGAGAUGGGCAGCUGUCUUUGGAAAUAAAGAUUUACCGGAACACCGCUCUAGCCACUCAUUUAGACAUGGUCUAUUGUCAUGCUACAAUGGUACAGUUUCGUUGUGACAGAGCCAGUACGGCUUACAAGCUUAAAAUAUUUAUUUUCUGAACCUUUAAGACUAAGUGUCCUGAUUCCUAAGAUAGAACAGAAAAAAAAAAUAAGGAAAAAAACCCUACACUCUCAGCAUAACCAACUGACAGAGCAGGACCAACCUCCAAAUUUCCUGUAAGUAGAAAACCAAACCCCUACCCCGAUGAGAUGGUUCAUGAUCCCACUGCAAAGCUUUGUGGAGAGCAAGGGCAGCCCAGGAGAAAGGGCUGAAGAGAAGAGGAGGCAGCUAACGGGAGGUCCAAGAUGGAUGGAAAGACUAUUAAGGGGAAAACAUACUGAAAAAGACGCCUGUAGAUCAGAGCGCUGACCAAGCGAAGGGAUGAAAAAAGGCACUGCAGGACUAGGGAGGUGAGCUCGGAAAAGGAUGGCUUCUGGGGGGGCAGGAUGCAGAAAAGGAAGGGAGGGGCACCCUUUGGAGAUUAGCUAGUGGAAAGGAAAAUCAUCAAGAGAGAAAAACGUCAGGCCAUGCAACACAACACAGAACAAGAAAAAUUUUGCAGACUGAAAAAACAUCAUCUCUCUCAUUCUGCCUGUCUCUGCCUCUGCCUCUGUCAUACACACACCACGCAGACACAGAGUCGUCCAUUCAAGGUUGUUCUCAAACUUUUUGGUCUCAGGAUUUUGUUAUACUCUUAAAAUUUGCAUAUCCUGAGGACAUUUUGUAUUUGUGGGUUAGGUCCACCACUAUUUACUAUAUUUGAUAUUAACACUGAGAAUUUUAAAAAGCAUUUUAGAAUUCCCCCCAAUAACUGGCAGUCUUCCCUUUCCCCUUGGAGCGAAGAUAUUCGCCAUGGCCCGCCUGCCGUCUGCCUCAAAGGUGGGGUGUUGCUCCGAGACGUUAUUUCAAAAGUGUAAGCUCCCCCUGUCCACUAAGCCAUUGAUGUCGCUUAAAAAAAUUCUUUUAGAAAUUAAUUUAAAAGCAACAACAAUAAUAAGUAUGAUGCGUAUUAACACAACUAAUAUUUUUAUGAAAAACAACUACAUUUUUCAAAACAAAAAAUGUCAUGAGCAUAGUGGACUUUUUACCUUUUUUUUUUAGGGCUGCACCAGUGGCAUAUGGAGGUUCCCCGGCUAGGGGGUCGAAUUGGAGCUACAGCUGUUGGCCUAGCCACAGCCACAGCCACUCCAGAUCCAAGCCUUGUCUUCAACCCACACCACAGCUCACAGCCACAUCAGCUCCUUAACCCACUGAGCAAGGCCAGGGACCGAACCUGCAUCCUCAUGGUUCCUAGUCGGCUUCGUUUCCACUGAGCCACAAAGGGAACUCUGAUGUAUUUUACACUUUACAAUAUCUCCUUAAUGUCUGGCUUAAGAAAAUGUAGCUCAUUUUCUUAUCUGUAUAUCGGCUUUCAAUCUGUUGCAAUCUGUUGCAAUAUCACAUCAUGUAGCUUCUAGAAACCUCUGCCUAGUGAGAGAAUCAAAGGGGCAAAUAACAUAUUUGUACUAUUAUGAAAAUAGUUUUGAUUUUGUAGCUGAAGGUUUUGAGGACCCCUCAGGCAUCCCUGAACCAGAGUUUGAGAACUGCUGCAUGUAAAACAUUGUAUUUCAGUGCUCCGACAGAAGGGGGUACCCUUGAACUAAGAAUCUUACACCACCCUCCCUCCAGAAAAAUGAAGAGGUGAAGCUAGAUUAAAUUGAUCAAAGUAUCUAUCAAAAAAUAAAAAA